AUACGGAGGAUGCGAGCGUUAUCCGGAUUUAUUGGGUUUAAAGGGAGCGUAGGUGGGAUAUUAAGUCAGCUGUGAAAGUUUGGGGCUCAACCUUAAAAUUGCAGUUGAUACUGGUUUCCUUGAGUACGGUACAGGUGGGCGGAAUUCGUGGUGUAGCGGUGAAAUGCUUAGAUAUCACGAAGAACUCCGAUUGCGAAGGCAGCUCACUAGACUGCAACUGACACUGAUGCUCGAAAGUGUGGGUAUCAAACAGGAUUAGAUACCCUGGUAGUCCACACAGUAAACGAUGAAUACUCGCUGUUUGCGAUAUACAGUAAGCGGCCAAGCGAAAGCAUUAAGUAUUCCACCUGGGGAGUACGCCGGCAACGGUGAAACUCAAAUGAAUUGGCGGGG
rnacentral:rRNA from 1 species